CAGAAAAUAGUUUAAUUAAAAUAUUAGUUUUGGAGAUUAAAGAUAGAGGGUUUUCUUUUUCUGA
rnacentral:tRNA from 1 species